rnacentral:tRNA from 1 species
UCAAGGAUCGGCCGGGAAUCGAACCCGGGCCUCCCGCGUGGCAGGCGAGCAUUGAACCACUGAACCACCGAUG